rnacentral:rRNA from 1 species
UACGUAGGUGGCAAGCGUUGUCCGGAAUUAUUGGGCGUAAAGGGCGCGCAGGCGGCGUCGUAAGUCGGUCUUAAAAGUGCGGGGCUUAACCCCGUGAGGGGACCUAAACUGCGAUGCUAGAGUAUCGGAGAGGAAAGCGGAAUUCCUAGUGUAGCGGUGAAAUGCGUAGAUAUUAGGAGGAACACCAGUGGCGAAAGCGGCUUUCUGGGCGACAACUGACGCUGAGGCGCGAAAGCCGAGUUNCGAAACGG